UACGGGGGGGGCAAGCGUUGUUCGGAAUUACUGGGCGUAAAGGGUUCGUAGGUGGCUUGUUAAGUCAGACGUGAAAUCCCUCGGCUCAACCGGGGAACUGCGUCUGAGACUGAUGAGCUCGAGUGCAGGAGAGGAACGCGGAAUUCCAGGUGUAGCGGUGAAAUGCGUAGAUAUCAGGAAGAACACCCGUGGCUAAGGCGGCUCCCUAGUACGGUACUGACGCUGAGACGCGAAAGCGUGGGGAGCGAACAGG
rnacentral:rRNA from 1 species